rnacentral:rRNA from 1 species
UACGUAGGGUGCGAGCGUUGUCCGGAAUUAUUGGGCGUAAAGAGCGUGUAGGCGGCCAGGUAGGUCAGCUGUGAAAACUCGAGGCUCAACCUCGAGACGCCGGUUGAAACCAUCUGGCUAGAGUCCGGAAGAGGAGAGUGGAAUUCCUGGUGUAGCGGUGAAAUGCGCAGAUAUCAGGAAGAACACCCGUGGCUAAGGCGGCUCUCUAGUACGGUACUGACGCUGAGACGCGAAAGCGUGGGGAGCGAACAGG